rnacentral:rRNA from 1 species
GAUGAACGCUGGCGGCGUGCCUAAUACAUGCAAGUCGAGCGAACAGACGAGGAGCUUGCUCCUUUGACGUUAGCGGCGGACGGGUGAGUAACACGUGGAUAACCUACCUAUAAGACUGGGAUAACUUCGGGAAACCGGAGCUAAUACCGGAUAACAUGUUGAACCGCAUGGUUCAACAGUGAAGGACGGUCUUGCUGUCACUUAUAGAUGGAUCCGCGCCGCAUUAGCUAGUUGGUAAGGUAACGGCUUACCAAGGCAACGAUGCGUAGCCGACCUGAGAGGGUGAUCGGCCACACUGGAACUGAGACACGGUCCAGACUCCUACGGGAGGCAGCAGUAGGGAAUCUUCCGCAAUGGGCGAAAGCCUGACGGAGCAACGCCGCGUGAGUGAAGAAGGUCUUCGGAUCGUAAAACUCUGUUAUUAGGGAAGAACAAAUGUGUAAGUAACUAUGCACGUCUUGACGGUACCUAAUCAGAAAGCCACGGCUAACUACGUG